rnacentral:tRNA from 1 species
GCUCAGGUAGCUCAGCAGGUAGAGCAGCGGACUGAAAAUCCGCGUGUCGGUGGUUCAAUUCCGCCCCUGAGCACAA